rnacentral:rRNA from 1 species
AGAGUUUGAUCCUGGCUCAGAUUGAAUGCUGGCGGCAUGCCUUACACAUGCAAGUCGAACGGUAACAGGUCUUCGGAUGCUGACGAGUGGCGAACGGGUGAGUAAUACAUCGGAACGUGCCCGAUCGUGGGGGAUAACGGAGCGAAAGCUUUGCUAAUACCGCAUACGAUCUACGGAUGAAAGCAGGGGACCGCAAGGCCUUGCGCGGACGGAGCGGCCGAUGGCAGAUUAGGUAGUUGGUGGGGUAAAAGCUUACCAAGCCGACGAUCUGUAGCUGGUCUGAGAGGACGACCAGCCACACUGGGACUGAGACACGGCCCAGACUCCUACGGGAGGCAGCAGUGGGGAAUUUUGGACAAUGGGCGAAAGCCUGAUCCAGCCAUGCCGCGUGCAGGAUGAAGGCCUUCGGGUUGUAAACUGCUUUUGUACGGAACGAAAAGACUCCUUCUAAUAAAGGGGGUCCAUGACGGUACCGUAAGAAUAAGCACCGGCUAACUACGUGCCAGCAGCCGCGGUAAUACGUAGGGUGCAAGCGUUAAUCGGAAUUACUGGGCGUAAAGCGUGCGCAGGCGGUUAUAUAAGACAGAUGUGAAAUCCCCGGGCUCAACCUGGGAACUGCAUUUGUGACUGUAUAGCUAGAGUACGGCAGAGGGGG